ensembl:misc_RNA 7SK 7SK RNA
GGAUGUGAGGGCGAUCUGGCUGCGACAUCUGUCACCCCAUUGAUCGCCAGGGUUGAUUCUGCUGAUCUGGCUGGCUAGGCGGGUGUCCCCCUCCUCCCUCACCGAUCCAUGUGCGUCCCUCCCGAAGCUGCGCGCUCGGUCGAAGAGGACGACCUUCCGCCCCCCGCCCCCCUCCCCAGGAGAGGACCGGUCUUCCGUCAAGGGUAUAGGAGUAGCUGCGCUCCCCUGCUAGAACCUCCAAACAAGCUCUCAAGGUCCAUUUGUAGGAGAACGUAGGGUAGUCAAGCUUCCAAGACUCCAGACACAUCCAAAUGAGGCGCUGCACGUGGCAGUCUGCCUUCCUUA